rnacentral:rRNA from 1 species
GCCUAGGACCAAAUCACUCGGAAAUGCGCCUGAUCUCAUCACAUCUCCAGAGUUUAAGCAGGGUUGAGCCUGAAUAGUGCUUAGAUGGGUGACCGCCAUACACGGCACGUUGUUGUGUUUU